AUUGAACGCUCGCGGGAUGCUUUACACAUGCAAGUCGAACGGCAGCGCGGACUUCGGUCUGGCGGCGAGUGGCGAACGGGCGGGUAAUGUAUCGGAACGUGCCCAGUAGCGGGGGAUAACUACGCGAAAGCGUAGCUAAUACCGCAUACGCGCUACGGGGGUAAGCAGGGGAUCGUAAGAUCUUGCACCAUUGGAGCGGUCGAUAUCGGAUUAGCUAGUUGGCGAGGUAACGGCUCACCAAGGCGACGAUCCGUAGCUGGUUUGAGAGGACGACCAGCCACACUGGGACUGAGACACGGCCCAGACUCCUACGGGAGGCAGCAGUGGGGAAUUUUGGACAAUGGGGGCAAGCCUGAUCCAGCCAUCCCGCGUGUGCGAUGAAGGCCUUCGGGUUGUAAAGCACUUUUGGCAGGAAAGAAACGCCGCGGGCUAAUACCCCGUGGAACUGACGGUACCUGCAGAAUAAGCACCGGCUAACUACGUG
rnacentral:rRNA from 1 species